rnacentral:lncRNA from 1 species
UUUGGGUGUCAGUCGUGGCACUCUUCAGGGUUACUACCCAGGAGCUGCUGUCAUGGGACAGAGUGCAGGAGCAUUUUUCUUCCUACUCACGCCAUUAUAAGAGGGUGUGUUUGUUAGCUGAGAUAACAGAAUAAAGACUCUGCUCACACCUCUUACCCAUCUGCUGAGAGAUGAGUGCAAUGUUGAAUUUAUUUGAACAAACCAAAGAUUCUUCUGGCACUGACGGUGAGAAAAACCCUGCUGGCUCAGUGAUAAAGUCAUGCAUGCAACAGGAAUGUUUUGGGUUUUUUUUGUUUUUUUUUUUUCUUCCUUAAAAAUAAACUAUAUUGCCGA